AAUCAUGUAUCCGUAAAACAGAACGCAGAGGGGAGAGAGAAGUAAUUAUUUGUCCUUAUCAGAAGUUGUAGCUUGUAGGUUUAGUUGGAAGCCAGCUGAUAUGCCUCCUUAAUCCUUUGCUUCAGUUUGGCGAUGGACUGUUGGUGUGGUUGGGUUUCUCUCUUGUUGGGAGUCACACCGAAGCAGAGGUUGAUGGGCAGCUUUCCCUCUCUCUGGAACAUCAGCAGCAGAUGGUCUCUCCACCCUCAACCUCUCUGAUGGAUUGUCUCCCCCUUCCACAACUGUGUGCCAAAUACUCAAAAUGUGAAUCUCAAGGCUAGCACCCUGAGCCUGAGCUCGUGUGGCUGGAGAGUAAAGGAGUUAAUCUCGAAUGUGAAAACUGUUCAAGGGACGUUAACCAAACAUAGGCCUGUUUAACUGAAAACAAACACUGUAUAGCCUCAAAACGUCUUUAAAACUUUAAUUGUAUAUAAUGGAUGGCCAGUCAAAUCAAAUCAAAUGUUAUAGAUCACAUACACAUGGUUAGCAGAUGUGCAAGUGUAGCGAAAUGCUUGUGCUUCUAGUUCUGACAGUGCAGUAAUAUCUAACAUUUCCACAACUACCUGAUAUGCACAUAUCUAAAGGGAUGGAAUAAGACGUUGUUUAGGUUCGCCGGCUGGGAUCCGAUCCAUUGUCCUGGGUGGAAGGCAAAACACAGGAUCCGCUUCGGGAAAGUCAUAUUCCUGGUCGUAAUCAUGAUGAGUUGACGUUGGUAGGCCUACAGUGGUAGGCUUGAUUACCAACAACGACGAGACGGCCUACAGGGAGGAGGUGAGGGCCCUCGGAGUGUGGUGUCAGGAAAGUAACCUCACACUCAACGUCAACAAAACAAAGGAGAUUAUUGUGGACUUCAGGAAACAGCAGAGGGAGCACCCCCUAAUCCACAUCGACAGGACAGCACUG
ensembl:lncRNA